CCCUUAAUCCAAUUCAACGGCGAUUAUAAAUGGAUAGAUGUCUUCGAUUUCCACUGGAGAUUGAGUAUCGAUGGAUUUUCAUUAUGAUCUAUUUUAUUGACCAGAUUUAUCACUACUUUAGCUACUUUACUAGCUUGGCCAAUUACGCGGAAUUCACGAUUAUUCUAUUUCAUGAUGCUCGCAAUGUAUAGUGGUCAGAUAGGAUUAUUUUCUUCGUGAGACCUUUUACUUUUUUAUCUGGCCCUGCCAUCAAUCACUUCGGUAAACAGGUGA
rnacentral:rRNA from 1 species